GCUGCCUUUCCUCGCCGUUGGCCUUCACAGCCCCCACCCCACCCCCCCUCUCCCUCCUCUGCCCCCCUUUCGGCUCUUGCCUUGUUUCCUGUCUCUUGUGGGAAUGUUUGCAACACCAGCCUUCAAAGGGACAAGGGUGCCGGCCUUUUUUUUUUUAAGUUUUAUUUUUCUUUGGGGUUUGCCUGAUGUCACCCUAGGAAAACCUCUGAGUGGGGUGGGGGGGCGCCUCUUCCUCCUUCUCCUCUUCCUCCCCCAGGCUUCCCAAUCGCUCCCGCGCCCCGCCCCCCCGCCUGCUCUGAGCGAAUGGGUCGCUCCUAGAAGGUUCCCGCCCAUGCGCACUUCUGCGGAGCUUCGGCCCGCCUCCCGGCCUGUCCCACCGUGCCAGUCAGGGGAGGGCCUCCCCCUCCGCUCGCGUGAUUGGUCGCGCCCGUCCUAUGACCUUCCCGGGUCGUGAGAGAAGGCGGGCUCAGUCUGCUGCGUCGACUCGGCCGGGCAGCAGCGUUUCGAGAGGGAAGGUCUUUCGCCGCCGCCGCCGCCGCUUCUGCUUCUGCCUCCCCUCCAGGCCUCCUGCCGGCCAUGGUUUCCUUGCUCUGCUGCGGGCCGAAGAUGGCCGCGUGCGGGAUCGUGCUUAGCGUCUGGGGCGUCAUCAUGCUGGUCCUGCUGGGGAUCUUCUUCAACGUCCACUCGGCCGUCCUGAUCGAAGAUGUCCCCACCAAGGAGGAGGACUUCAAAGGUGGCCCAAGCCGGAUCUACGGUCUCUACGAACAAGUCAGCUACAACUGCUUCAUUGCGGCCGGCCUCUAUGUUCUCCUGGGGGGCUUCUCCUUCUGCCAAGUGCGCCUCAACAAACGGAAGGAGUACAUGGUCCGCUAAGGACCUGCCCCCUCUGACUCCUCCUCAUUUUUGGAGGGGCUGAUGACUGUGGCUUCUCUUGCAGGACCCUCCUCCCCAUCUUGUAUUUUUUUUUUAACAGCCCUGGCCUCCAUGGGCAUUUGGGCUGUAGAGGGGAGGGGGUUCCUUGCUAUACUUGGAUUACACAACAGCCCCACUUUCCCCAUCACAAAGGCCCAGGGAGCAGCAUCCCGUGUCCAGGGUAUGUUGCUGCUUUGGUUGGCAAGACCUGGAUUUCAGUGUUGUGUAAAUAGUGUGGACACUCCUCGUUCUGUUCCUGCUGUCCCCAUCUCCCACCCCCACCUGAGAACAGUGAAUAAACACCCACCCACUCUUACCAGUCUCCAGCAGACAGUAACAGGAUCUCCUGCCUGCUGUGUCAGGUGCUUUGCUUCACACAGUGCUAUAGCUGGUCUGCUCCAGUCCCUAUCCCUGUCAUGUUCUGGUUCUGUUUUUGAUGUCCAUCGUCAUUGUUUGUUGUGUAAACGUGUAAUUCUUACUGGCUGGUAAGGACUGGGACUGUGUGUGCAUGUGCAGUGGGGGGGGGGAGCAUCCCUGUGAAUAGGACCAAAAUAUGACUUGUAAAAAAACCCCGCCUGUUGCUGUUUCUGGUGUUUGGAGGUGCAGCUCAGAGGUCUGUGUUCCUUUUGUGGUGGAGGUGACCGCCACUCCUGCCCCAGGAAGUCAAAGCUGCUCUGAAGACUGCUGCUCAGGGGAGUGGGUUGAAGAGCCCUCUGUUUGCAACCAAGACCCUAGUAGUAACGGACUUGGCCCACUUUCAUCUCAGGUGGAAGGAGAAGGAGGUGCAACUCUGGCUGUACAUUGGUGGGAUCUGUAGCAGCAGCAGUUUCCCUGCACAAAGGGGUGGAUAUUUUGAAAGUAGUCCGCUAUUUCUCUAGACAUACGUGCAAUAAAUAGCAUUUGAAUCUCCUUGUGCCUCUUUGU
rnacentral:lncRNA from 1 species